rnacentral:lncRNA from 1 species
UCCCGUGGCCCCGGGGCUCAGGGGCAGCCCAGGACUCUCCCUCGCCCGGCUCACGGCCCUGCCUGGGGGGCGCCUCCGGGAGCAGAUCACGAGCCCUGGGGCUCAGCCCUCAGGCGCGUCUAGCUCGGCGGUCACCCCAGUGCCGGGAGGACCCUGAAGACGCGCCCCAGGCGGCCCUACUCAGAGCCUCCUCCCAAGGCCCAGGAAUGCGGCGCUGUCGGAGGUGUGCGCGGUGGCCACACCGCUGUCCGGGUCCCCAAAGCGGGCCCCGCUCCCACUUCUCGCCUUGGCCCCGAACCCUGGGUCCAGCCCCAGCGCUUUGUGUGCGAACACCGCUCCGCCCCGGACCCAGCUCCGCCUUGGGGCCCCUCUCUGCCUGCCCCUCCGUGCCCGACUACACUGCUUCCCCUCCGGCGGGCGACUCAGCCCGGUCCAUCGUGGCGGCUUCCAGGGCGGCAGGCUCCGGGAGUACUCCCGGGGCCGGCUCCAAGGACUGUUCCCCUCCUCCCCACUCCCACUCCGCGGCGGCGGCGGGCGAGAGCGGCGACAUAGGGCCAGGGUCCGGAGCGGUGGAGGCUCCUGGCCGGGGAGCACGUCGCCCCACCCGGCAACGCGAGGAUGGUGGCGGCGCAGUCGGCUGCUUUGGGGUCUCAAGGCACAGGGGACGCGAGGCACAGAUGUCCCACAGCAGCCACUGCGGCUCCCGCAGCUGCUCCGCCGCCGCUGCCCGCCCCUCCCUGCUGCAGCUGGCGUGAUGGCAGCGGCAGCUCUGGACGCCCCACUGCUGCCACCAUCAGCCUUGUGAAAUAGCUUGAAAGAUCUAGCCACGUGAGCAGGACAGAAGUGCACAACAACCAUAUCUUGAUUUCUGUGGACCAGGUGGGGCCCCUGCCAGCCUUGCUAGACAGACCCAGGUGAACAGUCCUUCUAGGGGAUCUCAUCACCAGGCAAGCACGUGGUACGAGAAGAGCAGUCAUUAGGAAGGCCAUUUGGAAAAGCACAUCCUCUCUGUUCACGUGAGAUAUUUUACAUCCUCAUUCCUCAUCGCAAGCUUCCUGGGAUUUGGAGUGUCACAGACAAGAGGGUUGGGGGAGGCCAGUAGGUAUGGAUUUGUUUAUAUUAAAAUGAGCAUAUGAAUAUUUAUAUGUUUAUAUUAAAACAUAUAUGUUUGUUUAUAUUACAAUGAGCAUAUGAAUAUUUAUAUGUUUAUAUUAAAACAUAUAUGUUUGUUUAUAUUAAAAUGAGCAUAUGAAUAUUUCUGUAUACUUCAGAUAAACAUUCUUUUCCAUAAAUAAGCUUCAUCAUCCAGAAGCCAUGUUGAAAGUUGGUAAUCAAGGAUAGGAAGUGUUUCCAAGGGUUGUCAGUGAUUAAAUCAACCUUACCUUAGCAUACAUGUAUGAGAGAAGUUAGAUAAAUUAUACAUAGAGAGAUAGCUAGAUAGAUAAUAGAUAAAUAAGGUAGAUGACAGAUUAGAUACAGAUGAUAAACAGAUAUGCUAUCAGUCUAGAUCUAUUACUCACAGUCAGUCGUAUCACAGUGUAAUUCCAUCAACUUCAUUUGCAGCAAAAGAACAGCCCCUGAUGUACGCCUGUUUCCUGAAUAUUUGGAAAUAUUAAUAUUAAUAUAGAUAGAGUCAGCUUGCCAGUAUAAAGAAUCUAUCUCUCACUAUAGGCAGAGCCAUGUGUUGGAUAUUAUGGAGGAAUAUGUAUUAUUUUAAUCGUUUAAAAGACUAAUAAACUUCUAAUCUACUUUUGGGAGCCUCUGCUCAAGUUCCUGAGGUUCCUACUCUAAAAUCCACAUCACCCUCCAACUGCUCCCUAUGUGAGCCAUUAGGGAGCACAAUGAAUUAGAGAAUGAAUCCUAUUAGCCCACUAAAAAAUUAUCUUUCAAAGGAUGAAGACUGAUGCUAAGGAAAAAGAGAUGAGGCCUCCCUGGUUCCGCAUUAUUACUCCUUCCUUUCUUGGGUUACGGAUUGAACACUGACCUUUUCUUUCACUCUUCUGCAAGACAACCCCAUAAGAAAGCUGAAACCUGCUUUUGUGAAAGCCUAUGAUUACUAUAAGACAGGUGAGCAAAACAGAAUCCUAGAUAAACUCAGUUCUUUCCAGUGUGGUGUCUUUGAUGGAAAAAUAAAAUAAAAGCCAAUGUGGCACAGAGCAAGAAAAUGUUUGAGGCUUGUGUCUAUAAACAAGACUUGGCUGGAAUCCCCAGACCCACGACUUUUUAAAAGGAUAUUUUGUCCCUGCAAUACAGAUACUGAAUGAGGUUGGCAAAUAAAUAUGUAUUUCUAGAGACUCUAUA